AUCCGAGCAGAGGGGAUCCAAGGUGUUGGUUUUAAGGCUGAAGAUGGAUGUUCUGAGCUGUGCUUUUUCUGGCUGCCUUGUGUCACAUAAAUCAAAUGGCUACCAUGAAAGGGAACCUCUCAUCCCAGACCUCUGUGCCUGGUGGCUUUGCUUUUCUGAGGCAUUCUGUGACAGCAGGUGAACAACUGUGUGCCAAAAGGCCAGCGUGUGAUGGAGAGACCUCAGAGCCAGCACAGCAGCUGCACAGGAGCGAGAGGGGCUGGGAUUUUGUCAGGUGUUUUGUUGUGGGGGAAAAGUGAAGAGCGAGAGUCUGGAUGCAAAGCACAGGCCCUUGGCCAGCACAGCUGCAGUACAGCACAUGCAGGAGCACCUGGGGAGGAGAGAGAAGCCAUCCCUGCGUUCCUGCAGAUGUGGCUUGCUGUGGGCAGGAGCUCAGAAGAGUGGAGUGGAUCGAUAGUGAAGAGCUGUUCCCCAAAGGGCAGAGCUGUGAAGUCUGAACAUCCCCCGCAGCAGCACUGGCUUUUCACUGCUGGAGUGCUGAGUCCAGACCGACCUUCCUGGAAGGUACUGCAGGCUCCAGUAGGACUGAAUGCUUCUCUGUAGCCUUUCCUCAGCCCCUUGCCCAACAGAAUAAAGAGUUACUGAUGAGGACAUUCCACUGGAACGGCUAA